rnacentral:rRNA from 1 species
CGCAAUGGGCGAAAGCCUGACGCAGCAACGCCGCGUGCGGGAUGACGGCUUCGGGUUGUAAACCGCUUUCAGCAGGGACGAAGUGUGAAUGACGGUACCUGCAGAAGAAGCACCGGCUAACUACGUGCCAGCAGCCGCGGUGAUACGUAGGGUGCGAGCGUUGUCCGGAAUUAUUGGGCGUAAAGAGCUUGUAGGCGGUUUGUUGCGUCGGAAGUGAAAACUCAGGGCUUAACCCUGAGCCUGCUUUCGAUACGGGCAGACUUGAGGAAGGUAGGGGAGAACGGAAUUCCUGGUGGAGCGGUGGAAUGCGCAGAUAUCAGGAGGAACACCAGUGGCGAAGGCGGUUCUCUGGACCUUUCCUGACGCUGAGAAGCGAAAGCGUGGGGAGCAAACAGGCUUAGAUACCCUGGUAGUCCACGCCGUAAACGGUGGGCACUAGGUGUGGGACCCUUCCACGGGUUCCGUGCCGUAGCUAACGCAUUAAGUGCCCCGCCUGGGGAGUACGGCCGCAAGGCUA